GUGAUAAAAUCAAUCGUCAAAAGGGGAACAACCCAGACUACCAAAUAAGGUCCCUAAGUUCUAUUCUGAGUGGAAAAAGAUGUGUGGCUACUCAAACAACCAGGAGGUUGGCUUAGAAGCAGCCAUCCUUUAAAGAAAGCGUAACAGCUCACUGGUCUAGUGGUCAUGCGCUGAAAAUAUAACGGGGCUAAGAUAGACACCGAAUUUGUAGAUUGUGUUAAACACAGUGGKAGAAGAGCGUUCAUMCCAGCGUUGAAGGUAUACCGGUAAGGAGKGCUGGAGCGGUAUGAAGKGAGCAUGCAGGAAUGAGUAACGAUAAGAUAUAUGAGAAUUGUAUCCGCCGUAAAUCUAAGGUUUCCUACGCGAUGGKCGUCAUCGUAGGGUUAGUCGGGKCCUAAGCCGAGKCCGAAAGGGGUAGGUGAKGGCAAAUUGGUUAAUAUUCCAAUACCGACUAUGGAGCGUGAUGGGGGGACGCAUAGGGUUAAGCGAGCKAGCUGAUGGAAGCGCUAGUCUAAGGGCGUAGAUUGGAGGGAAGGCAAAUCCACCUCUGUAUUUGAAACCCAAMCAGGCUCUUUGAGUCCUUUUAGGMCAAAGGGAGAAUCGCUGAUGCCGUCGUGCCAAGAAAAGCCUCUAAGCAUAUCCAUAGUCGUCCGUACCGCAAACCGACMCAGGKAGAUGAGAUGAGKAUUCUAAGGCGCGUGAAAGAACUCUGGUUAAGGAACUCUGCAAMCUAGCACCGUAAGUYCGCGAUAAGGKGUGCCGCAGCAAUGCGGUCUCAGCAAAGAGKCCCUCCCGACUGUUUACCAAAAACACAGCACUUUGCCAACUCGUAAGAGGAAGUAUAAGGUGUGACGCCUGCCCGGKGCUCGAAGGUUAAGAGGAUGCGUCAGUCGCAAGAUGAAGCGUUGAAUUGAAGCCCGAGUAAMCGGCGGCCGUAACUAUAACGGUCCUAAGGUAGCGAAAUUCCUUGUCGGUUAAAUACCGACCUGCAUGAAUGGCGUAACGAGAUGGGAGCUGUCUCAACCAGAGAUUCAGUGAAAUUGUAGUGGAGGUGAAAAUUCCUCCUACCCGCGGCAAGACGGAAAGACCCCGUGGACCUUUACUMCAACUUAGCMCUGCUAAUGGGAAUAUCAUGCGCAGGAUAGGUGGGAGGCUUUGAAGUAAGGGCUUUGGCUCUUAKGGAGCCAUCCUUGAGAUACCACCCUUGAUGUUUCUGUUAGCUAACKGGCCUGKGUUAUCCMCAGGCAGGACAAUGCUUGGUGGGUAGUUUGACUGGGGCGGUCGCCYCCUAAAAAGGAACGGAGGCKUGCAAAGGUUGGCUCAUUGCGGUUGGAAAUCGMAAGUUGAGUGUAAUGGCAMAAGCCAGCCUGACUGUAAGACAUACAAGUCAAGCAGAGACGAAAGKCGGUCAUAGYGAUCCGGUGGKUCUGUGUGGAAGGGCCAUCGCUCAAAGGAUAAAAGGUACCCCGGGGAUAACAGGCUGAUCUCCCCCAAGAGCUCACAUCGACGGGGAGGUUUGGCMCCUCGAUGYCGGCUCAUCGCAUCCUGGGGCUGGAGCAGGUCCCAAGGGUAUGGCUGUUCGCCAUUUAAAGCGGUACGCGAGCUGGGUUCAGAACGKCGUGAGACAGUUCGGUCCCUAUCUGCCGUGGGCGUAGGAAAGUUGAGGAGAGCUGUCCCUAGUACGAGAGGACCGGGAUGGACGUGUCACUGGUGCACCAGUUGUUCUGCCAAGAGCAUCGCUGGGUAGCUACACACGGAUGUGAUAACUGCUGAAAGCAUCUAAGCAGGAAGCCAACUCCAAGAUGAACUUUCCCUGAAGCUCGCACAAAGACUAUGUGCUUGAUAGGGUAGAUGKGUAAGCGCAGUAAUGCGUUUAGCUGACUACUACUAAUAGAGCGUUUGGCUUGUUU
rnacentral:rRNA from 1 species